AAAAAUAUAAAAAAUACAUAAAAGAGAUACAUUUUGAUAGAGCAGCAGAGACCUUAAGCACAGGAACAGGAAAUGAACUCACCAACAAGGAAGAACAGAGGGUGCAGAUAGUAGAAAAGCCCAAACGAAAGGUGACAAGGCCUGCAUACCUGGAUGACUACGCAUGAGGGUAAACCAGGAAUUGAACCACAGCUUCCGCAUAUCCAGCCAGCACCAAUCCAUAUCCAGCUUGAUUGGAAUUGUCUCUCUUAACUAGACAAAUACAAACUAAUUCUGUUAUAGGAAUAUUCCUGCAUACAAGCCAAUCCAAAAUCUGUUAUCAGGAGUUGUUAUAAAUACCUAUGUAAUCAAACAAUCAAGCAUGCAGAAAAUAAUACUUUCCUUUUCAUUGCAAUUCUCUUCUUCCUUAGUUCUGGAGGCACUGGCCAUCGAAG
rnacentral:lncRNA from 1 species